GUAAAUAUAGUUUAAAAAAAACAUUAGAUUGUGAAUCUAAUAAUAGAAGAUUAUAUCUCCUUAUUUACC
rnacentral:tRNA from 2 species